rnacentral:rRNA from 1 species
CAGUAGCCGCGGUAAUACGUAGGUGGCAAGCGUUGUCCGGAAUUAUUGGGCGUAAAGGGCUCGCAGGCGGUUUCCUAAGUCUGAUGUGAAAGCCCCCGGCUCAACCGGGGAGGGUCAUUGGAAACUGGGAAACUUGAGUGCAGAAGAGGAGAGUGGAAUUCCACGUGUAGCGGUGAAACGCGUAGAGAUGUGGAGGAACACCAGUGGCGAAGGCGACUCUCUGGUCUGUAACUGACGCUGAGGAGCGAAAGCGUGGGGAGCGAACAGGAUUAGAUACCCCCGUAGUCCCUGUCUCUUAUAC